GAUGGUUUCAGAUUCCGCAAAACGAAUCUGUCGUGACGCGCAAGCAAAGCGGGCUAACCCAAUCGUCGGUCGCAUUAUGUUGUGGGUGUGAUUGAAAUGGUUGUCAGUGGGUCAUCGAUGUUAGCUAUCAUCGCCUGGCCUGGCCCAGUAUUACAAGGAACUCAGGACCACGCAGAUUACUUGGAAUUGUGGUUAAUAUUGUUUAUAGAUAAACUAGAAGCCUAAUUUAUACUCGUGACUCAACAAUGUUAUGUGUUGAUAGUUUUUUUAUGCCAGAAAAGCGUAAUGGGACGUUUAUAUCGGUAAACUUUCCUCACCCGGGCGGAGCCAUGAGCAACUACUAAAGCAAGAGUGUCUCGUCGAUGUGCGCGGCAAACCUGGAACUGCUCGGCCAGAAUCUAGAGUGGCUUCUCUGCACCUGACGUUAAGCGAAGUGAAGCCUGUAGAAAGUGCCGACCGGCCAAAGAUACAAACAUCCCCUGACGGUCGGCACAGUCUUGCUGCCCUGCAUAAUUGCUUCUGUACGCUCCGCUUGAAGGACCCCAAGUUAUAGGAAGGAGGGAACACGAAUGCUGGCAAACCAUUCCACAGCCUGAUUCCUUGUGCGGCACCUGGAUGAGUUUCCAAACUUUUUGAUUCGCGCCAAGAUGGAAAACACCACCAAGCGGUGUUUCCGAAAGCCAGCACGCGUGGUACUGGAAAGGAAAGGUUUUUACAUCAGGUCAUCGGUUUCUGCGUCUACAGCUAACAUACAGAUUUUGACAUUUAUAAUAUUAGGGUUUUACGUCUAAUAACAUACCACGUAGGUUCAUGUCACAUCUAUGACCCAGCCGAUGUUUGGGUAGUCAAAGGGCAUUCAACUCUUUUACAUAUUUAUUUUUAUUAUAAUAUAAACACUGUAAUAGUUAGGUAACAAACACUAAGGCGGAGUAAUAUAAUGCACGCAUUAAAUUAUAUAAAAGCUAACAAAGUAGGGAAAUGGAAAUGCUUACGCAAAUCUUAAUAGGCAAAUCUGUAGUUAGCCGACAAAAUAAAUCGUGAGCGAAUCAUGGUGUCACAAGUAUAAACAGAAUGCUCACAUUAAACUGUUCGGCUCGGGAUAUACAUUAUACACUGCCAUUAGUUUAAUGGACAAUAUUAAAAAGCGUAGAUUACUUAAUUCAUACACGCUUACGUCUUUUAUUUCUGAUGGGAUAGGUAGAAAGGCAAUUAGUAAACACUGUUCAUCACACCAUGUGAUGGAAUAUACCGUCAUAUGGUGUAAUGAGGGCGAGCAGUAAAUUCAUAAUUUUGAAGUCAAAAGCGUUAAAUCCCUAACAGUUCAAAUUGUCAGCAAGAAACUCUUAAUAUUCUAAACGUAGCAAAUUGACAACACAAAGUAAAUGCGGAUGUUGCAAAAUGUUAGCGGAACCAUCCGCUACUGCCGUUAUAGGUUUUUACAAACUUCCUUUAUUUAAUGUCAUUUGACAUUGUGAUUACCGGAUUUGAAUUUCUAAAUGUUGCCCGUUAUGGCAUUAAUAUAGCGAUUCCAAUAUGAAAUGUGUAACGUACCCAUCAACUGGUUUGUAUAACCUUAACACACAUUCAACGCGUUAAAUAAACGUGGAAACUCUUUAUUUUACUAAAAAUAUAAGUACUUGCAAAUAUCCCGGUCUUGUAUAAUAUAAUAGAUAUGGCUAAUGGGAAAGAAGAUCCUAUGUGCGAUAAUAGUGUUAAUUACUUCAUGAGUCUAUCCCGUCUAUCAACUGUAAGCCACGAUUAGCAACAAGUAUUUUAAUGAAAGCGAGUAUAAAAGCUCGUGGACUUUUUAAAAAAAUAGCAGUUGAGAAAGAAAUUAUUUUCCACUAUCUCUCGAAAUGCGGAAGACAACAAAUUACUAAAAUGGUAAAUUUAUUUUGAAGACAUUUAUAACGUAAUGUAAUAUUCUAUCUCCUUUUUCUUUAUGUUCAGACAUUAAGUUCGAUAUUAUAUUACGCGUAUUUUGAAUGGUGUAUUUGUUGUAUUAUAAUAUGUAGUUAUUUUCUAAUGUUAUAUAUAUUAAGUAUUUGAUGUUAUAUGUGUUCUAUUAUACUACUUAAGUAGUAAUUUCUAAUCCCUUUUAUUACUCGAUAAGAUCGCCAUUUGUACUUCCUGUUUGUUUAUAUUCUUUAUUGUAAGUAUAUAAACUUUUCUAUAAGACUUGAUGUACUUACAAUAACGAGUUUUAUUAAAUACAUAACGGAAAAGACCAGUUGUUUACUUCGUAAAGUUAUAACACGUUGGUGUAUAAAAUUUCAAUGAUGAGACAUCUCUUUCAAUUGUUAGAAGAGGUUGUCGACCCAGAGUCACAGGAUUCACAACCCACACACGGUGAGUCGGAAUAUCUACCUUGUUCAGCUGAGACAUAAAAAAAAUAAAUUUACAUACACCCACAUUCGCGUCUUUUGUCCUCGAGGGGUAGGCAGAGGCGUUAUACCAAAGUACCCAAACUUCGCUGUUACCGGUCUCAAGAUUUAAUAGGGGUUGUAUUGCCUUUUGCCGGAUCGGUUACACUCUGGCUGAACUAAACAUAUUGAUACAUAAUAUACAGACUAAUAGGAUUAACGUGCUCCAUUAGGCAUACUGUUUUCAAUCAUGAUUUAAGUAAGUAUUAUAUUUAAGUACUGGCAUUGCAGAUGUUGAUGGGCGGCGGUGUAUACUUACUAACAAGUGAACCGUAUGCCUGUUUGCCUCCUAUAACCUACAACAUAAAAAAGUAAGGAAUAUCAGGAAUUCCGUCCCAAGUUAAAAGUAUGGUGGUCAUAGAAUUUGUGUUUUGGAUCAUAGAAUAGCUGUAUGGAUACAAUUGAAAUUACAGCUUCUUAUUCACAUACCAAUAUAUAUUGCUUUCCUUAAAGACCAAUAUGAAACCUAUGUAUCUUCAGUUAUGGGCCAUUCAGGCCACUAAUUAACUUCAGGUGAACAAUGUGCACGUUUACCGGUGCCAUGAAAAAACCUAUCUGGCAAUCACUAUUAAAACUAAAACCUCCGGGGAUUAUACUAAUUUUAAUAAAACCGUCAUUAAUUUUGCCAAAUAUGCAUUUUAUUAUUGUGCGAAUGGUUAGUAUAGGGAAAAGAAAUCGAUUUAUGGUAGCAAAUUCUCUUUUAUAAAUACAGAUAUUUUCUCCCUUAUAACUUUUACUAUAAUUCUCUGCCCACUGCAUUGUGGGCAGUUUCUCCUCCGUUACGAUAUUUUUUAUCCCAAAAUUGAACUGUAAACAUUACUAAUCAGUUUAAGCUAAUGAUAAUCCAGAAAAACUACGUUUAAGUUCUUCAUACAAUUCAUGAAUGAAAAUAAAAAUAUUUAACACAUUUAUCAAAACGAAGAAACCUGCUCAAUGUAUAUCAAAUUUACGAAACAAAAAUACGUCAUAUUUUUAUUUAGCCUACUUGUUAUGUGUUUUUUGUUUUACGGUGAGCCUGCAGUGAUCACGGCAUGGCCAUCCAUGUUGCCACUGGCAUAGUAAACUCGUGUAAAGGUCAUUGUUCACAAUGGUUCUUGCAUGUUAAUGAACGUACACUCAUCACUUCCGCAAAUCACAGCCAACUGUGCAUUAUAUUGUUAUCUAUUUGCAGGAUAUUCCUUUCCUUUGUACGUCCAUUUUGUAAUAACAUUGUUUAUUUUACCUAUACUGCGGUGAGUAAUACGCGAACAGCUGUGAUGCCCCAAGACUUCAUAUCUUAAUUUUUCUUUGCGGUAUGUAAGGUUAACGCAAUAAUGAUGCCUGACGGUUGUUCGAAAUUUUUACAGUUCCACUAUUUAUUAUGUUAUGAAAAGAUUAUGUAUUUAAUAUUGUAUGCACAAAAUAAUGAAUGAUUUUUUUUAUUUAUU